AGGGAAUUUUCCACAAUGGACGAAAGUCUGAUGGAGCAACGCCGUGUGCAGGAUGAAGGCCCUUGGGUUGUAAACUGCUUUUAUGUGCGAAGAUUAUGACAGUAAUACAUGAAUAAGGGUCGGUUAACUACGUGCCAGCAGCCGCGGUCAUACGUAGGACUCAAGCGUUAUCCGGAAUUACUGGGCGUAAAGAGUUGCGUAGGUGGCAUAGUAAGUAAGAAGUGAAAGCGUUCGGCUUAACCGAAUAUACAUUUCUUAAACUGCUAAGCUAGAGAACGAGAGAGGUAGAUGGAAUUCCCAGUGUAGGAGUGAAAUCCGUAGAUAUUGGGAGGAACACCGAUGGCGUAGGCAGUCCACUGGCUCGAUUCUGACACUAAGGCACGAAAGCGUGGGGAGCAAAC
rnacentral:rRNA from 1 species